rnacentral:rRNA from 1 species
UACGUAGGUGGCAAGCGUUGUCCGGAAUUAUUGGGCGUAAAGGGCGCGUAGGCGGUUCUUCAAGUCUCUCGUGAAAUCCCUCGGCUUAACUGAGGACGUGCGGGAGAUACUGAAGGGCUUGAGUCCGGAAGAGGGUGGUGGAAUUCCCAGUGUAGCGGUGAAAUGCGUAGAUAUUGGGAGGAACACCGGUGGCGAAGGCGGCCACCUGGGCCGGAACUGACGCUGAGGCGCGAAAGCGUGGGGAGCAAACGGG